UACAGAGGGGGCAAGCGUUGUUCGGAAUUACUGGGCGUAAAGGGCGCGUAGGCGGUGUGUCAAGUCAGGCGUGAAAGCCCCGGGCUCAACCUGGGAACAGCGCUUGAGACUGGCACGCUCGAGUUCGGGAGAGGAUGGUGGAAUUCCCAGUGUAGAGGUGAAAAUUCGUAGAUAUUGGGAAGAACACCGAUGGCGAAGGCAGCCAUCUGGACCGACACUGACGCUGAGGCGCGAAAGCGUGGGGAGCAAACAGG
rnacentral:rRNA from 1 species